CUUGGCUUCCAUGUCCUCCAGGCCCUGACUGCAGGGGAACCGUCCACUCACUUGCUGCGCAGCCCCCCACACAGCUGCCGCCUCCGUGUCCAUCCAGCCCUGGGGAAGGUGAGAGAGUCACUCUGAGCCGCUGCCGUUGCCGGGGGGACCUACCACCACCCUCGCAGGCCCUGAAGGUCUGGAGAGCCCUAGGACAGGUGCAAAGUCCGAGUCUGACCCCACUCUGGAUGCACUCUUACUGGCCUGUCUCCCGGAUGGCCCUGAAGAUGAAGAUGUAGCAGUAGACGAUGACCAGCAGGGGCAAGAAGAACACAAAGCAGAAGAGCAGCAUGGUGUAGGCUCGAACUGAUGGCGUGAAGCUCAUGUAGUCCCAGGAGCAGGAGGUCAGCAGCCCCUCUGAUGGGAACACGGAGGUUCCCACCCAGGAAGUGUCUUCCUCCAGAUAACAAGGCUCAGUAAGUGGCACUGCCAGGAUUCAAACACUUAUUUGAUGGGCACUGCACAGGCGUAGAUUUACUUAACCAUCACAUUGACUCCGUGAAGUCAAUCACAACUCCAUUUUGCCAACAAGAAAAACGGACUCCCAGAGGAUAAGUGACUUGUUCAAAGUCGGUUCAGCUAAUAGGUAGUAGGGUCAGAAUUCACUUCUUCACCUCCCGUCUCACCAUUCAGCCCAAGAAUGGGGCAAGUGGGGAAAGAAGCUGGGGGUGGUUUCCAAGGGUGGCUGCUGAGAGUCUUGAGGAUUAAGGGUCCUGUUGCCUGGGCUGCUCUUUGAGGCAGAGGAAGGAUACCCACUGGGGCAGGUGACAUUGAGGUAAGCUGAGAGCAGGGUAGAAUGGACAGAGGCUCGGGUAUUGUAGGGACAUUUGUCUUACAGAAACUAUGCCUGGGGCCCAUUAGCAUGUUCCACUCAAGUUGCCCUGGACUACUCUUUGGCCCCUUCCCUGAGCUGGAAGAUGGAGGCCUGCCCUGAGACCACUGAGGGCUUGGCCGUGGUGUCCCCACCCAGGCUCAACGGAGCCCUGGCAGAACUGGCACUAGAAUUCCUGCCCUGUCUUUGCAUGGCCAGCUGCCCUC